rnacentral:rRNA from 1 species
GGACCCGCACAAGUAGUGGAGCAUGUGGUUUAAUUCGAAGAUACGCGCAGAACCUUACCAACACUUGACAUGUUCGUCGCGACUUUAAGAGAUUAAAGUUUUCGGUUCGGCCGGACGAAACACAGGUGCUGCAUGGCUGUCGUCAGCUCGUGUCGUGAGAUGUUGGUUAAGUCCCGCAACGAGCGCAACCCUCACUUUUAGUUGCCAUCAUUAAGUUGGGCACUCUGAAAGAACUGCCAGUGAUAAGCUGGAGGAAGGUGGGGAUGACGUCAAGUCCUCAUGGCCCUUACGUGUUGGGCUACACACGUGCUACAAUGGUAUCUACAACAGGAAGCAAAACUGCGAGGUUAAGCAA